AACAAAGGAUGAACGGCUAAAGGCGUGCCAUCCUGGCACAACGCCGUUCUGACUACAUCCUGGAGU
rfam:Virgibacillus soli strain PL205 scaffold000007, whole genome shotgun sequence.